AGGAGGUGAGGCGAGGCAGCAGUCAGUGACAGACCAGCUGAGAUGGCGCGGGGUGUAGCUCCUCCACCCAUAUAUCUUUUCAUAUUUAUUGUCACGUGUAUCUCCGCAUCUCGUGUAUUAAGCCUUGAUGCCAAAUCAUUCCACCAAGUGAGCAAUGAUAUUGAGAGGUGGAUCAAUGAGCUACACUCGAGGACAAGUCAUGCACAUCUUCUUAAAAAGACAAACGAUCUGGUCAACAGUUCCCUUGUUCCAUGAUCUGCUCAUAAUACUACCUGGACUCUACCUGGAGGAUGCCCCGGGGGUCAAUGCCGACGCGGCAGAAUCCUUGAUCAGGCCUCCCUGUGGAUCAGGGCCUGAUCAACCAGGCUGUUACUACUGGCCGCACGUAGUCCAGCGUACAAACCACAGCCCGGCUGAUCGGGUACUGACUAGGUAUCUGUUCAGCUCCCUCUGGAAGGCAGCCAGGGGUCUAUUGGUAAUUCCCUUAAGCCUGGUAGUAGGCUAUUGAACAGCCUUGGGCCCCGGACACUUAUUGUGUUUUCUCCUAGUGUACUCGUGGCACCCCUACUUUUCAUAGGGAGUACGUUACCCAGCCUGUUGCUUUCGUAGUGAAUAAAGAUUUGUGAAUGUAACGGGAAUAUUUAUAUUUCCGGGUGCACUCUUGAUCCGUACUUCCACAAAUCAAACCAGAUUACCCUCCGUGGUUGGUCACACUACUAACGUUGGGUCACAGUAGCGCCAUGUUAGCCUGGGAAGGGGUGCAGGUGACCUACAAACCAUCGACUCUCGUGAAUAUUAAUCAGCUAACAGAGAUUAAAUAAAAAAAUUGAUUUGAAUUGAAUUAAAAAUUUAUAGAGUCCGGUAAAUAUUUUGAUCUUAAUGGGAUAUUUUUUGCGUAUAUCCUGAUGUGUUAUUAUUUUCGGGUUAAUUGGAGUAAAUAUUUAUUUCCCCAUCCCCAUGAUUAUUCCAUAUAUAUAAUUGAGAAAUCUCUAGUGAUAAUUAUUCUAGAUUGUUGUAGCUGCAACACACAUACCUUGUAUACCAGACGUAUUAACUGUACUAUACGUAUUUUGUAUAUCUAGGGAUUUUGUAUAUGAUCAAGAUAUUCUACGUAUACCAAAACGGUAUAUGUGGAAUAUCUUGUGUAUACAUCAGGUAUUUUGUGUAUACUAUAAGUAUUUUGUCACAUUCUGGUUAUUAAUGAACUUUUAUUAAUGUUGCUGUUUCUCAUACUGUGUUAGUCUUGUUAAUAACGUUGUGUUUAUGCACUGUCUGGCACUGCUAUUGCAGUGUUGCAAAGUAAACAACAGAUGCAUUAUUAUUAUUUUUAUUAUUCCGUAUUUUCGGGCAUAUAAGGCGCAGGAUCACGUACGACAAUGUUUGCCAGCAGUUGUAAUGUAACGUAACCUAACUGCUAAAGUGUAACCUAAAGGAAACCCAUGACUCGGAUUUUGAGCAUAUAAGGCGCAGGCUGAUUUUUUCAAGAGGGGGAAGCGCGCCUUAUAUACCGGAAAAUACGGUAUUUUUUUAACGAUUAUUAUGAUUAAUGUUAUUAAAUAUUAUUAUACAUGUUCUUCAAAGGGAAAUGUGCGUUCAUGUCAGUGAAGGGCUCUUCAGCUAAGGAAUUGGAGCUACUCUCCCUUUCCUUGGAUCAAAUCCGAUUAUUUUCCAUUCCCUAAGCCCUGUAUGAUCCCUGUGGGUUUAAUGCUUCGCCAUGACUGUAAUAAUAAUUAUUCUUCCAGAUAUUUAAAACUGUUUAAAAGUUUAGUGAAACUGAA